GAAGUUCGCCAGGCAACCGCUGAUCACGCAAGUGGUUGGAGGAAAGUCCGGGCCCCACAGGGCGGAAUGCCGGCUAACGGCCGGGCGCUAUAAGUCGGGCGGCGCAAGCCGUCUGACCCAAGGCGACAGACAGUGCAACAGAAAGAUACCGCCUAAGCCUGACUUUGACGCCGCAAGGCGGCAAAGUCCCCCUCCUGAAGAGCGAGGGGAGAGGGCCGGUAAGGGUGAAAUGGUGGGGUAAGAGCCCACCGCGGACGUGGUAACACGGACGGCAUGGCAAACCUCAUUCGGGGCAAGGCCAAAUAGGGGAGCAUUGGCGCGGCCCGCGUUGCUCCCGGGUAGGCUGCUAGAGGCCGUCGGCAACGGCGGUCCCAGAGGAAUGGUUGCCCACGACAGAACCCGGCUUAUCGGCGGACUUCCCAC
rnacentral:RNase_P_RNA from 1 species